CAAAACAAGAAACCCUCACAAACAUAUUCAUCACACAACUUAUCAAAUCAACAAAACUGAAAGAUUCCCAAAUCAAUCCACAGCAUACCCAAAACACCAGAAGCACCUCAAAGCCAUUAUGGUUACCAAUCAAAGUUACCAAACCCAGAAAACAACAGAUUAAAUCUACUAAAUUAUAACAAACCCAUUAAAGCCAAUUGCAUACAGAUUCCAAAUAAGCUUUUGAUACUCAUAGAAACUGUUUUAUUACUGAACCAAGAGCAAAAACACUAACCUUAAUAAAACAUAGAUACAAAAGAUGAAAUCAAACAAAUAAUUGAACGGUACCUUUGGAGACAACGCAUUGAUCCGUAAAAUUAGGGAGCUUAAAAAUUGAGGAGAGAGAAAAAAAGAAGUAAAAUGUUCACAGAGUGUCUUUAAAGGGUUGGGGGCGGUGUGGAGGGGCCAAGCUGAGAAAGAUCUGCACCAGGUAAAAUCGCCAUGGAGAAGAAACCGACCCGUUUCGUUUAUAUGGGUGGUGCAAUUGAGACAAAAAGGUCAAUAAUAUAAGCGCAUACUUAUUAUAUAGGUGGUGGA
rnacentral:lncRNA from 1 species